UAAGGGGAUACAAAGGGCAUAUGGUGGAUGCCUUGGGUUCGAGAGACGAUGAAGGACGUGGCUUGUCUGCGAUAAGCUACGGGGAGGCGACAAGUAGCCUUUGAACCGUAGAUUUCCGAAUGGGGAAACCCACUCUAUUAUCAGAGUACCUUAUUGUUGUAAAGACAAAAGGAGUUAACUCGGGGAAUUGAAACAUCUUAGUACCCGAAGGAAAAGAAAACAAACUCAACUAUGAGAAAAUUCCCUAAGUAGCGGCGAGCGAAAAGGGAGAAGCCCAAACCAGCUUUCUCUUGAAACUAUUUCUAUCAAGAAGUGGUUUUAAGAGUAAAGAGGGGGUAGUAGGACUUCAGCGCUGCUGAUUUUUCAGUAAGGAAAAGUUACAAAAAAUGUUGUUAGGAGAACAGGCUGGAAAGCUUGACCUAAGAGGGUGAUGGUCCCGUAUUCGAAAACGACAUUUCUUUUUAGCUGAUUAUUCCUGAGUAGCCCGGGAAACGAAUGGCCUGGGUGAAUCAGCCAGGACUAACUGGCAAGGCUAAAUACUACUCGAACACCGAUAGUGAACCAGUACCGUGAGGGAAAGGUGAAAAGUACUCCGGAAGGAGGGUGAAAUAGACCUGAAACCAUAUGCUUACAAAGAGUCGGAGCGGUCCUAGACCGUGACGGCGUGCCUAUUGAGGAAUGAGCCAGUGAGUCGAUUGUCUGUUGCAAAUUUAGGUUAAGCCUGAUAAGGGUGUAGCCAUAGGGAAACCAAGUGUUAAUAGCGCGUAAGUAGCAGGCAUCGGACCCGAAACCGAGUGAGCUUGCCUUGGGCAGGUUGAAUUGUGUCGAAAGGCACAAGGAGGACCGAACCAGUUGGCAGUGCAAUGCCUUUGGAUGACCUGAGGUAAGGGGUGAAAAGCCAAUCGAACUCGGCAAUAUCUGGUUCUCUCCGAAACAGCUUUAGGGCUGGCGUCGUGUGAUUAUUUCGGGGGUAGAGCACUGGAAGGAAUGAAUAGGGGGCAACCUCGUCAUUCCUAUCAAACUCCGAAUACCGAAAACUACAACACGGCAGUUAGACCAUGGGGGCUAAGCUCCAUUGGUCAAGAGGGAAAGAGCCCAGAUCUCUGACUAAGGUCCCUAAAUUCAUACUAAGUGCAAAAUAAGGAGGUGGAUAUUUCAUAUACAGCAAGGAGGUUGGCUUAGAAGCAGCCACCCUUUAAAGAAAGCGUAACAGCUCACUUGCCUACUGAGAUUCUGCGCCGUAAAUUAGCGGGGCUUAAGUAUGAUACCGAAGUCGAGAGCUUAUUUUUUAUAAAAUAAGCGGUAGGAGAGCGUUCUGUGUGCACUGAAGCUAAAGGGGUGACCCAUAGUGGAGCGCACUGAAGUGAGAAUGCUGGCACAAGUAGCCGCAAUGCAGGUGAGAACCCUGCACGCCGAAAGAGCGAGGUUUCCUCGGCAAUGACAAUCAGCCGAGGGUUAGUCGAGCCUAAGUAGAUGGCGAAAGCCGUAUACGAUGGACACACGGUUAAUAUUCCGUGACUUGUUGUAUGUGUGACGGAGUAACGGAGAGUUGUACUCUUUGCGCAUUAUUGGAUUUGCGUUUGCUUUAUGAGGAAGUUGUUCAGGUAAAUCCGAACAGCACAAUUCCGAGUAAAGUGAAAAUGAAACGGCUUGCCUUUUUAGAUAAAGGGGAGCACUCUUCCAAGAAAAACUUCUAAACUUAACAUAUAACAAACCGUACCGAAAACCAACACAGGUGCUCAGGUCGAGAAGACCAAGGCGAACGAGUGAUUGCUUCUCAAGGAACUCGGCAAAAAAGCGGCCGUAACCUAGGAAUAAGGCCUACCAAUCUUGAUUGAUUGGUCGCAGCUAAAGAAUCUCUCCCAACUGUUUACUUAAAACACAGCUCCCUGCGAACUCGUAAGAGGAUGUAUAGGGGGUGACGCCUGACCAAUGCCGGAAGGUUAAAUAUGGGGGGUGUAGUAAAAUUUAUUUUGCUAUGCUGGAUCAUAUAAGCCCCGGUGAAUGUCGGCCGUAACUCUAACGGUCCUAAGGUAGCGAAAUUCCUUGUCUGGUAACUUCAGACGUGCACGAAUGGCGUAAUGAGGGGGGAACUGUCUCGAGAGGCAGCUCGGCGAAAAUGCAAUAUCGGUAAAGAUGCCGAUUACCUGCGGAAAGACGAAAAGACCCCGUGGAGCUUUACUAUAGCUUCGUAUUGGGAGUAUUGAUGCAAUGCGUAGAAUAGGUGGGAGACUUUGAAGUAUGCCUUUAGGGGCAUAUGGAGUCGUCAGUGAAAUACCACUCUUUGUAUCGGUGCUUUCUAACCCGUGCGGCAAAAACGACCGGGAACAGUGCGUGGCAGGUAGUUUUAGUGGGGCGCUAUCCUCCCAAAAAGUAACGGAGGAGUUUAUAAGGUUCUCUAGGCACGAAUGGAAACCGUGCUGAUAGUGUAAUGGCAUAAGAGAGCUUGACUGUAAGGGUGACAUCCCGAACAGGUGCGAAAGCAGAACAUAGUGAACCUACGAUGUGUCUUAGAUGCAGUCGUAGAUCAACGGAUAAAAGCUACCCCGGGGAUAACAGGCUGGUUCCGCCCAAGAGUUCAUAUCGACGGCGGAGUUCGGCACCUCGAUGUCGGCUCAUCACAUCCUGGGGCUGGAGAAGGUCCCAAGGGUUUGGCUGUUCGCCAAUUAAAGUGGUUCGCGAGCUGGGUUAAAACCGUCGUGAGACAGGUUGGAUUUUAUCUUCCGCAGGCGUUGAUGUUUGAAAAGACUUGCUCCUAGUACGAGAGGACCGGAGCGAACUGACCUCUGGUGUACCAGCUGUCCUGCCAAGGGCAUCGCUGGGUAUCUAAGUCGGGCAACGAUAACCGCUGAAAGCAUAUAAGCGGGAAGCGUACUUUAAGAUUAGACAUCAUGUCCCUGAAAGACUAUCAGGUUAAUAGGCUUUACGUGUAAGCGCGGUGACGCGCUGAGCGGAGAAGUACUAAUAGACAAAUUAUCCUCUUAUC
rnacentral:rRNA from 1 species